rnacentral:snoRNA from 1 species
AUUCGGGUUGAUAACUAGGCGGCCGGUCUCAACAACCCACGACGUCUGCCUUUUAAGUACCCGAUAGAUUGAGUUUUUUCAGCGGAGAUCUUACAUGUUUCCGAAAGCGCUUUUGGCAAUGCCGUAUUUGGCGACUUUUAAAUCUUCGCAACAUGC